AUUGAACGCUGGCGGCAUGCUUUACACAUGCAAGUCGAACGGCAGCGGGGAGGAGCUUGCUUCUCUGCCGGCGAGUGGCGAACGGGUGAGUAAUACAUCGGAACGUGUCGAGAAGAGGGGGAUAACCACCCGAAAGGGUGGCUAAUACCGCAUAAAUUCUGAGGAAGAAAGCUGGGGACCUAGGAAUAGGCCUAGCGCUUUUUGAGCGGCCGAUGUCGGAUUAGCUAGUUGGUGAGGUAAAGGCUCACCAAGGCGAAGAUCUGUAGCGGGUCUGAGAGGAGGAUCCGCCACACUGGGACUGAGACACGGCCCAGACUCCUACGGGAGGCAGCAGUGGGGAAUUUUGGACAAUGGGGGCAACCCUAAUCCAGCCAAGCCGCGUGUAUGAAGAAGGCCUUAGGGUUGUAAAGUACUUUUGUUAGGGAAGAAGAGUCAGCUGUGAAUAAUGGCUGAUACUGACGGUACCUAAAGAAUAAGCACCGGCUAACUCCGUG
rnacentral:rRNA from 1 species